UCUUUCAUUCCUGUUAAUCUUUAAUUGGGUGUUACAUAUUGUGAGUUUAAUCUAUUUAAGUGUUAUAUCUUUUUGUACUUUUAGAUACCUCAAGCUUUGUUCUGACAGACAGUUAAGUUACUUGGAAAUUUUUAUUUUAGUUCAGUUUUUGGUCUUGUUAGGUAUGAAUGAGGCAGCAUUGAAUCUAGGGCUAAUUAUCCUACACUACAGAGGCAAGACCCUUGUAAAUACUCUUAACUAUACUUGUGGAGAAGCCACUUUCCUCAAUGUUAUGUUGCCCUUUGCUGUUGGUGUGCUUCCCACCUACACAGGCCCUGAUCAGCCCACCAAGCCAAUUGCCACUACUCGUGA